rnacentral:snRNA from 1 species
GCGCUUUGGCAGCACAUAUACUAAAAUUGUAACGAUACAGAGAUUAGCAUGGCCCGUGUGCAAGGAUGACAUGCAAAUUUGUGAAGCAUUCCAUAUUUUU